GCCAAAUCAAAACAAUUUUAUUAAAGAGAAGUAAAUUAAUACAAAAAUAAUCACAAUUCACAUUAACCAUAAAACCCAAAUUCCAAAUAAUAAAUAAAUACAACCCCACAACAAUCAAUCUUGGCUUACAUAGAAAGUAACUCAGGUAAUAGAUCUAUCACCUUUGCCCUUCUGCAGUGCUGAAUUUUGACCUAUUUAAACACAAAUUAACACAAACAACAAAUUCAAGCCAAACAAUAAAACAGACAAUGGUCCAAUCUCAAAGAUCUAAGCACACUGGAACCCUUUUGGUGACUUCUUGCCACAAUAAUUCAGAAGCAGGCUGAUGUCGAGCUGGACAGAGCUGACGAUGCCGAGGACAUUGGCCUUCAGUGCAGUGCAGAGGCAGAGUGCGGCAUCAACAUUAGUCAGCCCGGUCAGUAGGCUACAACAGGAAGUUUUCUUCCCACCGCCGAAGUUGAGGUCGACGAGCCCGGUGACCACAUUUGCGCACACAGCUAGCUUCAGUGUGUCUACUGGGCACUUUUCCGUGCUUGGCUUUGGUGUGGGUGGCUUUGGCGUGGGUGGCUUAGGUGUCACGCCGCCGCCGCAUGUGCCACAGGCGCUGGCUAUGGUAAAGAAGAGGAGGUUGAUGGCGAGGAAGAGGGCGGCGGAAGUUGAGGUCUGGGAAGCCAUUGGUGUGGCACCAGAAUGAAACCCUAGAUUGGAAUGUGAGUCCUAGGGUUUGUGUGAGGUGGUGAUAUUGGUUUGAG
rnacentral:misc_RNA from 1 species